AGCGAACGCUGCGGCAGGCUUGACACAUGCAAGUCGAACGCCCCGCAAGGGGAGUGGCAGACGGGUGAGUAACACGUGGGAACGUACCCUUUGGUUCGGAAUAACUUGGGGAAACUCAAGCUAAUACCGGAUAAGCCCUUAUGGGGAAAGGUUUACUGCCGAAGGAUCGGCCCGCGUCUGAUUAGCUAGUUGGUGAGGUAAUGGCUCACCAAGGCGACGAUCAGUAGCUGGUCUGAGAGGAUGCUCAGCCACACUGGGACUGAGACACGGCCCAGACUCCGACGGGAGGCAGCAGUGGGGAAUAUUGGACAAUGGGGGCAACCUUGAUCCAGCCAUGCCGCGUGAGUGAUGAAGGCCUUAGGGUUGUAAAGCUCUUUUACCCGGGACGAUAAUGACUGUACCGGGAGAAUAAGCCCCGGCUAACUUCGUGCCAGCCGCCGCCGUAA
rnacentral:rRNA from 1 species